GAAUGAGAUAUUAACUGUUUCAAUAUAAUUUUUAGAAAUUUAUAUUUUAGUGAAAAAGCUAAAAUAUUUUUAAAAGACGAGAAGACCCUAUAAAUCUUUAUAUCUUUAAAUUUAUAAAUAUAUUGAUAAUUUGAUUUAUAAGUUACAAAUUUAUUUUAUUGGGGUGAUAUUAAAAUUUUAUAAACUUUUAAUGUAUAAUUUACACUAAUGAGUGGUUUUAUGAUCCGUAAUUUAUGAUUAGAAAAUUAAGUUACUUUAGGGAUAACAGCGUAAUUUUUUUGGAGAGUUCUUAUUAAUAAAAAAGAUUGCGACCUCGAUGUUGGAUUAAGAUAUAGAUUUAGGUGUAGUGGCUUAAAUUUAAAGUCUGUUCGACUUAUUAUUUCUUACAU
rnacentral:rRNA from 1 species